CGACGCUCUGGGUGGCGGUGAUCGUGCCCACCUGGGUUGUCGCCCCGGGGACGACCUGCUCGAUGCCGGUUGUGUCGA
rnacentral:tRNA from 1 species